UAGGGAAUCUUCGGCAAUGGGGGGAACCCUGACCGAGCAACGCCGCGUGAGUGAAGAAGGUUUUCGGAUCGUACAGCUCUGUUGUUAAGGAAGAACGAGUGUGAGAAUGGAAAGUUCAUACUGUGACGGUACUUAACCAGAAAGGGACGGCUAACUACGUGCCAGCAGCCGCGGUAAUACGUAGGUCUCGAGCGUUGUCCGGAUUUAUUGGGCGUAAAGCGAGCGCAGGCGGUCAAUUAAGUCUGAUGUGAAAGCCCCCGGCUCAACCGGGGAGGGUCAUUUGGAACUGGUUGACUUGAGUGCAGAAGAGGAGAGUGGAAUUCCAUGUGUAGCGGUGAAAUGCGUAGAUAUAUGGAGGAAAACCAGUGGCGAAGGCGACUCUCUGGUCUGUAACUGACGCUGAGGCUCGAAAGCGUGGGUAGCAAACAGG
rnacentral:rRNA from 1 species